rnacentral:rRNA from 1 species
AACGUAGGACACGAGCGUUAUCCGGAGUUACUGGGCGUAAAGGGCGUUUAGGCGGGUGACUAAGUUCGCUAUGAAAGCGCCGGGCUAAACCCGGCGAGGCUGGCGGAUACUGGUGAUCUGGAGUGAGGUAGAGGGAAGUAGAAUUCCGCGUGUAGUGGUGAAAUGCGUAGAGAUGCGGAGGAAUACCAGUGGCGAAGGUGACUUCCUGGACCUUAACUGACGCUGAAGCGCGAAAGCAUGGGGAGCGAACGGG